rnacentral:misc_RNA from 1 species
CCUCCUCCUCCUCCUCCUCCACGACGGCUGCAUCUUCCAACCUAACUUCUUUAUGGUGUCUCGCAGACGAUGAAAUCGAGCGAACCGAAUGGAACAGAGACAAGGACAACUCCGAACCCGAAACCUUAACGGAUUCAUUUCUGUUCAAGAAAGAGUUUUUCUCUGGCAAUCGGGAGAAUUCCGAUGUGGAUUUUAGGUUGGAGCUGGAGAAGGACCUGGAUGACCUCGAUGAUGACUUCGAUGAUGAGCAGUCAGUUAGCUCUUCGAGCCGAUCGGCGAAGCCGAAACCUGAUGAUUAUAAUGAUGAAGAGUGGGAGAUUAAGAACUCCAUUGGCUUGGACUGUACUCUUGAUUACGAGGAAGAGGAAGAUCAAUAUGACAAAGUAGCUGUUGGCAAGGAAAAGGCUGGUGACCGCUUGUAUAUGAAAGAAGUAACUGACUAUGGGAUAGAGGUAGAUUCUAACAAUGAGCUUCCCGAUUCGAUUAGGGACAUCCCUAGGGAUCCGCGUGCUAAUCUCAUUGCUGCUAAAAUUAGGCUCAAAGAAGAUGCAGAAGCAGCUAUUAAGAUGGAUUCUUUGCGGGUUUCUGAGCAAGAUUUACUGGCUAUUGCUGAUAAUCAAGUUAAGGUGUCUGAGGAUGGAAACUUGAAGUCCAUUCUAAAGAGAAGGGAUGAUGAUUCUGAUUCUAAGUCAAGAAAUAAUCAGCUGGAUUCAAAGUCACAAAAACGUGUACGGUUUGAUCCAGAAUGUAAAGAUGAUUUUGAUGAAGAGUCUGAUGGAAUCAGAGGCACACACAUGGAAACUGAUUCAGUAGAUGAGUCUUUGGUGUAUCCUUUGCCCUCUGAUUAUCCUUCUGGGAUUCCAGAUUAUAUGCGAAAUCCUUCAAAAUACACGCGCUACACUUUCGAUUCAUCAAGUGAUGUAGAUGAACAAUCUAACCGGCAAGCCUUUAUGGACUUUCUUAAGAUGCUGAAGAAGUCAAAUACUACAGAAUCACAGCCAGAUGAUGCUCCCUUUGAUCUUCCAAAAUCACUAACCUUCAUACCAAAGAGGAAAGCCCUUGAUACUGAAACAGUCAACAAUCACUCUGAGUCGAAACAAAACCAGGAUGAAGCCAGCAAGGAGUCUAUGCUUAGGAGGGGUUUACCAAUAUGCAUUGCAGCUAGCGAUACAGAAGAUGGCGAAACGUGUGCCAUGGAGGAAGAUGAACCUGAAACAGCAGCUGAGAGGAAAAACAGUUCGCAGAAAUCAGGCCGCAAGUAUCGGACAAAGGCCACCUUGGAAAUGGACGAAUCCAUUUGAGAAUUGUAUUAUCUUCAUUGAGAAACUAUGCUAACUUCUGUAUCAUAGAAACCGUGACUGUAUAAUUAUUCCUUUCUAUUUCUAACUCAAGUACUUUACUGUAACGUAAAGUAUUCUCAUUUACCUCUGGCUAUAUGGAUUUUUG